rnacentral:snRNA from 1 species
UUCCUCACUUUGUGGCAGCACAUAUACUAAAAUUGGAAUGAUACAAAGAAGAUUAGCAUGACUCCUG